rnacentral:rRNA from 1 species
UACGAAGGGGGCUAGCGUUGCUCGGAAUUACUGGGCGUAAAGCGCACGUAGGCGGUCUUUUAAGUCGGGGGUGAAAUCCUGGAGCUCAACUCCAGAACUGCCUCGAUACUGGAAGACUCGAGUCCGGGAGAGGUGAGUGGAACUGCGAGUGUAGAGGUGAAAUUCGUAGAUAUUCGCAAGAACACCAAGUGGCGAAGGCAGCUUGCUGGGACGACACUGACGCUGAGGCGCGAAAGCGUGGGGAGCGAACAGG